rnacentral:lncRNA from 1 species
GGCGCACAUCCCACUGAGACAGGAACACAAGUCGGGACACGCGGCUGGGCCGGCAGCUUUUCCCAGCUCUUGGGGGCUGUGGGUUGGGGAUUGAAUUGCGUGGAGAAACUGAGACGCCUCUGGAGUUGUGAACACCCCCGCUCUCACCCCGACGCGUGGGCCCAGAAGGCAAGGCCGGGCCCCAGCAGCGCGAGCCCAGGCGACGCCCAUCCGAGCACAGCACAGCGCUGGCCCGGGGGGCAGACCCUACCUCGCACACUGCCAGAAAGCCCCGCCGCCCACCAGAGAGGCUCGGCAGUGAGCCCUGCUUUCAACUGCAGCCGCGUCUCCCAGAAGGUGGCGGAGGGGCAGUCGUGGGCCAGGCCAGCACCCUGGCAAGGCUGCAAGGCCAGCCUGGGAACAAGGACUGAGACCUGGCACCCAGCCACAGGCGUGUCUCAUCUCCGGGAUCCUACAGGGCCAGGGCACAGUCCCCUCUUCCUCGCCAAGCCCAGGAGCCCUCCGGGGUGGAGUCAGCAUCAGGGCCCUGAAGUCACGGCGCAGAGAACCCAGGCUAGACCUAUCUUUGCCUCUUUCCAAACUACGCUUUUUCCCUUAGCAGCUGUUCUACCACACACAUCUGUCCUGCACACGCUUUGGCUACUGAGUGUAACACGUCCCACCCCAGUGUCGGCCUGCCCCUCCCCAUCCUUGUCCAGUGGACGCCCCCCCAAGGCCGUGGGCUCACCUAGUGUGCUCUGUCGCCCCUCCAAUGCAGGGCCUUUGCACGCCUUGGAACGCUCGGCACACCUCCUCCCGCCCCCUCGCCUACCUCACCUCCGUUCGUGCUUCACGUCUGAACUCAUGCGUUACGUCGCACUCUGGAGGCCGAGCCAGAAUCCCGCCGCAUUUAUCACAACACUGCAGAGCACUGAUGGGAACAUGACCUCACCCCAGCAUUUCCCGACAACGCCGGGAAGUGCUGCAAGGCGUCCACGAGCGACGUCUCUCGGGGAAAGAAGAGAAGCACCGGUGGCAGGAGAGGGGCUCCCAUUUGGAAACGGGACCUUUAUCCUGUGCCUGGGUGAUCAGAACCAGGCCUACCUUUUAGCUGAACACAAAGCCUUUGGAAAUAGGGUAAUAAUUUUAGAAUCUGGAAAAAACCCACAGCGCACAGUACUCAGGUGGUGGCUCUGA